UUUUUUAUGACCCUUAUUGCAAAUAUUUUUGUCUUUUUUUCGCAGCAGAUCAUUCAAUGAUAUUGCAUUUACUUUAUUCUCAUCAAAAGUCAAAACCUGUCUUUACUACGCACUUUUUAUUACGCAAAUAAUAUGCAAAUCAGAUCAAGAUCAGUAUCAAAGAUAAAGUGAUUGAGUCAACAAGCGACCAAACAAUGAAAUUAACAAACGUUUAAAAAGUUCAAUUAAUAUAUUGAAACACCAAUUAAUUAGUAUAAAUUUUAUAAAAAAAUUGUGCAAUUCUCCUUUUGAAAAAAAAUAAAGAAAGUGUUAAUAAAAUCUAUUUUCAAUAUAAUAUCAAUUUCCUACAUUUAAACAUCUUUGUCCAUGGUAAAGUCUCGAUUAGGACAAGGUUCUCAAAUCAAAAUCAUCAUUUUAUAUGAAGCUAAUUUCACCACCACCACAAUAAUUUUAUUCGAAAUCCUUGAAUAUUUGUGGAAAACUCCAGAAGGGCCAUUUACGGACUUAAGAAGUAUUCCACCUGAACACGUGGGGAAAUUUUUUUUAAGUGUGGAAACCUCACCCAGACUUAAAAAGCAAACCUAAACGUAUUUAUAAUUAUCUGAUAUAAAUAUAAAAAUUUGACUAAAAAUUUAACUAAAUCAAUUAACUAAAAACACGAGAAAGCUAACUAAAUACUUAAAAAUUUUAAAUUAGAAAUGCUAAUAUACUAAAUUUAUUACAUACUAUUAUUAUAGACCUAACCUAAGCCUGAACUACUUAAAACUAUUUAAUUUUUUAAAAUGUUCUAAAAACUAAACUUAAAUCUAAUAAUUUACCUAAAUAUUUCUGAAAAUCAAGAAUUUACUAUACUAAAACUUGUUCAAAGUAAAUAAUCAACUUAGAACAUUAAAUAUUUUUGAAUUUUGAAUCAAGACGAAAAACCUACAAUGUGAAGACUAAUUUUGAAUUAUAAAAUCUAUUUUAAAUUCUAAUCAAUGUAAAUAUUUAAUCUAUUUAAUAUCAUAAGUAUUUGAUCAAAUUAUUCAGAUAUACAAAUGCUUCUAAUAUACAUAUAUCUAAAAGAAAACUUUUCAUUUUAAAAAAUUGCAAAUCGUUUUUGAAGACAUUACUACUGAAUUUAUUUAAUUUUCCUAAUUGAAGUUUUAAAAUGAAAAUGUCAUAAAUAUCAAUACAAAACAUAAUUUUGUGUAAUUAAUUCUUCUUAAGAAAUUAAAAGCAUUUGUAUGAAUAAUUUCUGCUAACACUGUAAUUUAAACCCAGACUAUCUUUUAUUACUUUUUUUUUCUGUACUAUCCAAAACAAAUUAGGUAUGUACGUAUGUAAAUAAUUAUAAAUUACAAAAAAAUAUGUAAGAAUUUCUUUUUAAAGCAAACAACAACAACAAAAUCACCAUUAUCGUCUUCUUUUGCUGGGCCCUUCAAUCGAGAGAACGUUAAAAUGGAACAUCAGAAAAUUGAGUUGUGAGUAAUGAAAUAUUGAUCUUUAUUGUUUUUUUUUGUAAUUACAUAUAUUAUUACGUACUAUUAUUGCUUCUCUCCGUCCGUUUCCAAACCGUUCCCCUACAUUUAUUCACAAUUUGUAUAUUAAAUAUAAUAUUUAAAAGAGUCUGGAUUUAGUUUCCUAUCAUCACCCUAUGUGUAAUGUUCAAGAGUUAGACUUAAACCUGUUCUUAUUUUCUUUAUUUUGCUUUAUGCAUAUUUUGUUUACAUUCAAUAAAUUAUUUUGUUAGAUAUUGUAAAAUGCAA